rnacentral:rRNA from 1 species
UACGGAGGAUCCGAGCGUUAUCCGGAUUUAUUGGGCGUAAAGUGCGUCUAGGCGGUUUAGUAAGUCUGAUGUGAAAGUUUACGGCUCAACCGUGAAAUUGCAGUUGAUACUGUUGGUCUUGAGUAUACAUGAGGUGGGCGGAAUUUGUGGUGUAGCGGUGAAAUGCUUAGAUAUCACAAAGAACUCCAAUUGCGAAGGCAGCUCACUGGGGUAUAACUGACGCUGAUGCACGAAGGUGUGGGUAUCAAACAGG